rnacentral:rRNA from 1 species
UACAGAGGGGGCAAGCGUUGUUCGGAAUUACUGGGCGUAAAGGGCGCGUAGGCGGCCUGUUAAGUCGAACGUGAAAUCCCCGGGCUCAACCCAGGAACUGCGUCCGAUACUGGCAGGCUUGAAUCCGGGAGAGGGAUGCGGAAUUCCAGGUGUAGCGGUGAAAUGCGUAGAUAUCUGGAGGAACACCGGUGGCGAAGGCGGCAUCCUGGACCGGCAUUGACGCUGAGGCGCGAAAGCUAGGGGAGCAAACGGG